GCAUGUUCACAUGAUUAAAGGUAUUCCGGUAGACGAUGGGGAUGCGUUCCAUUAGAUAGUAGGCGGGGUAACGGCCCACCUAGUCUUCGAUGGAUAGGGGUUCUGAGAGGAAGGUCCCCCACAUUGGAACUGAGACACGGUCCAAACUCCUACGGGAGGCAGCAGUGAGGAAUAUUGGUCAAUGGGCGAGAGCCUGAACCAGCCAAGUAGCGUGAAGGGUGACUGCCCUAUGGGUUGUAAACUUCUUUUAUAAAGGAAUAAAGUCGGGUAUGCAUACCUGUUUGCAUGUACUUUAUGAAUAAGGAUCGGCUAACUCCGUGCCAGCAGCCGCGGUAAUACGGAGGAUCCGAGCGUUAUCCGGAUUUAUUGGGUUUAAAGGGAGCGUAGAUGGAUGUUUAAGUCAGUUGUGAAAGUUUGCGGCUCAACCGUAAAAUUGCAGUUGAUACUGGAUAUCUUGAGUGCAGUUGAGGCAGGCGGAAUUCGUGGUGUAGCGGUGAAAUGCUUAGAUAUCACGAAGAACUCCGAUUGCGAAGGCAGCCUGCUAAGCUGCAACUGACAUUGAGGCUCGAAAGUGUGGGUAUCAAACAGGAUUAGAUACCCUGGUAGUCCACACGGUAAACAAUGAAUACUCGCUGUUUGCGAUAUACAGCAAGCGGCC
rnacentral:rRNA from 1 species